rnacentral:rRNA from 1 species
CAGCAGCCACGGUAAUGCGUAGGUGGCAAGCGUUGUCCGGAAUUAUUGGGCGUAAAGCGCGCGCAGGCGUAUCAGUUAGUCUGUCUUAAAAGUUCGGGGCUUAACCCCGUGAGGGGAUGGAAACUGCUGAUCUAGAGUAUCGGAGAGGAAAGUGGAAUUCCUAGUGUAGCGGUGAAAUGCGUAGAUAUUAGGAAGAACACCAGUGGCGAAGGCGACUUUCUGGACGAAAACUGACGCUGAGGCGCGAAAGCCAGGGGAGCGAACGGGAUUAGAGACCCCCGUAGUCCCUGUCUCUUAUACA